rnacentral:lncRNA from 1 species
AUUCAUUUUCCCUCCCAUAUAAAAUACACAUUAUACUCAAAGCCUAACCUAAUUUUUUAAAAGAGCUCAGCCGCACAAAGCAAGGAAGAAGGAUCCUCCUCUUCUUUAAUUUCAUUUCUCUUCUCUGCCAUAAGCUGGAUGAAAAAACCCAUGUAAACUUUGCUACAAACUCAGUAAAAAUGCAGCCAUGAAAGGCCCAAUAUCCAGCUCCUCCCUCAUGCCAUUUUCACUAUCAAAACAGCCCCAAAAUCAUCCAAAUUAGUAGCCAAAAAACUCUGCUCAACUCCAGCCUUAACUUAUCUCAAAAUCCAGCCCCAAACUCAGCAACAAUAAGCUGAAACUUACCCCAAACAAGCAACAGAACAGCAGCUCAACCGCUGCCAAUUUAAGUUCAAAAAUAGUCCGAAAAUGGACAUCAAACCCAGCUGAUUUUCCAUCAAUUUUCAGCUACAAAAAUAGUUCGUCUUCAUCACUGUUAAAACACAUUCGAGCCCGAGUUCGUCGACGAGUUUUGUUCGAACUCCGGUCACGGUUCAACUUCGGAUGAUUUGCAAUCGAAGCUCACUAUCGCACUUUUAAGUGAAACGGAGCAUUUGCUGUACCUUUGCUUUGGUGUUUUGCCAUUUUUCAAAUCUGAAAGAACUUUGCUACAUUGAAAGGUUCAAUUUUGCUUAUCUUAUUUCUAAUUGAUGCGUGACUUUAGAGUUUUAUGUGCCUGGAUACAAAUUUUCCUUGGUUUCAUGAUUAUCAAUUCCAGUUGCUGUUUAUAAUAAUAUUUAUCAUGAAUUAACUUGCUAAAAAAUAAUUUUAAAAUUUGACGCUCAAAACCAUUGAAAAAAGCAAGAGGGCGUAUGUAUUUGAGCAGGAUAUACAUGAUAUUUGUGAGCUGCUAUUUCCUAUUGACUUUGUAUGGUAUUGAAGUUUAGCCAUGAAUGUCUUUCCCUUUGUUUCGUUUCUUUUAGGUGGUUAUUUGGCAUUUUGGUUCCUCCUGUUUAGAUUGUUAUUAUCCAAAUGUUUGUUUUAAUAAGUGCUUAUACAUGUUCAAAGAUUUUUGUAAUUUUAAUUCCUCAAAUCGGUGAUUUGAGAUACCAUAACAAAUAUCCCAAGUUACAACUCUGAAAUCUAAUAAAUAAUCCCAUUUCGAAUAAUAUCACUUAAAUUUGAAAAACGACGCUUCCCUCGGGAAGGAAAAAGGAGGUGUGACAGACGCCUUCUUCUUCCUACGACCUGUGCGCUCCUUGAAUUGCUAUUGAAAUAUGAAAGAACGACUUGAUUCCCUAUGCAUUAGCUGAAGAUGUUACUUUUAAUAAUGGUCUUAUUUUACAGGAGUAUUGCUUUUUAAAUUUCCUGAUAAUUUCAUUAUAGCAACUGGAUCUUAAUGACAACUUGUCAUAGAGCUGAAGUUCAGCAAAUAUAAACAAAAACUUCAGCUGCUAGAAUGUUGAAGUUCAGCAAAUAGAGAACAAAACUUCAGCUACUAGAAUGCUUUAAGUUCAGCAAUUACAAACAAAUUUUUUAGCAAAUAGUGAACAAAACUUCAGCUACUAGAAUGCUUAAAUUCAGCAAUUACAAACAAAAACUUCAGCAAAUAGAGAACAAAACUUAAGCUACUAGAAUGCUUAAGUUCAGCAAUUACAAACAAAAACUUGCUACUUCAGGCCCGUCUACUAGAAUGCUGAAGUUUGCGUGAUUGCCUUUGCUACUUCAGACCCGUUUGCCUGAAGUUACGCGAAAAGUGGGUACACUUGUAUUUUUUUUGCAAAGCGGGUAUAAGUUAAAACGUGGUCCAAAAAGCGGGUAUAGAUGCAAAUGCUCCUUUUCAAUCUGGUAAUCUUGUUACUGGUUUGCUUAGAAAGCCCAUAAAGCCUAUAAAUCAUUUCGUCCCAGUUAUAUCAUCUCGAAAGACAAGAAUAAACCUAAAACAAAAUUCAUUCAACUCUUUCAUGGUGAAAAGCAAUAAUUGAAAUGAAAGAGAAUUAGGGUGUGGAUUCUAUUGAUGGGAGUAUGAAUACAUGUGUUUGUUCGUGAGGCACCUUGUUUUUUUGGGUAAUUCUAUGAGACCUACACGACCUAGAAAGAGGAAAAUUCACAUUAAUGAAUUAAAUCACUAGCACUUGCUUCAGACUCCCUUGUAAUCAAAUCGAGAGAAAAUAUUAUGUCUUAUUUCCAUAGCAUCACUAAUAAUUUUUUAAUUUAAAAGUCGUACUUACAUUGUAGUAGCGUCUUAUUUCCAUAACAUCACUAAUACUCCAUCUUUUACUAAAUAGAUUAUCGGAGAUCCAUAAACAAGCCUUAAUGCUUUGAUUCAUCAGUGUGUGCAGGACGGUUCAAACUCGAACUGUAAUCGAUAAUCCAAUUGUAAAAUUAGCUUACUGACUUAUUAGUAUCGGAUUAUUAGCUUAACGGUUGGUAAACAAUUUAAAAUUUAGUAGUUAACGAUUUAUUGAUUCGAGAAUGAAUUACUCAAUUUUCUUAUCGGAUAAAUCGUUAACCCGUUAAAAAUUAUUAAAUUUAUAUUUCUACCCCUAUAUAUAUAAAAUAUCUAUUAUUAACCCUAAAGGCUAAAGCCCCAUUCAUUUCUGACAAAUAUUGCGUUCUCCAACUAAUAUAUAUCUUCUUGGGUCCAAAGAAUUAGUGCACUUCCACUCAAAAUUUUAGCGUCUAGUGUCGGAAAGCAUGAUACACCUCCCAGUUACCUUGUGAUUUGGAACUUCUAAAGCAACAAAGAGACUUUUUUCUAAGAUUUUAAUAUGACAGAUUUUUCGACAAGACUUUUUUUUUUUAAAA